rnacentral:rRNA from 1 species
CCUACGGGCGGCAGCAGUGGGGAAUAUUGCACAAUGGGGGAAACCCUGAUGCAGCGACGCCGCGUGAGUGAGGAAGUAUUUCGGUAUGUAAAGCUCUAUCAGCAGGGAAGAAAAUGACGGUACCUGACUAAGAAGCCCCGGCUAACUACGUGCCAGCAGCCGCGGUAAUACGGAGGGGGCAGGCGUUAUCCGGAUUUAAUGGGUGUAAAGGGGUCGUAGGCGGUUAAUCAAGUCAGAAGGGAAAACCCAGGGCUCAACCUUGGGACUGCUUUUGAAACUGGGUAGCUAGAGUGCAGGAGAGGUACGCGGAAUGCGUGGUGUAGCGGUGAAAUGCGUAGAUAUUAGGAGGAACCCCGGUGGCGAAGGCGGCUUACUGGACUGCAACUGACGUUGAGGCUCGAAAGCGUGGGGAGCAAACAGGAUUAGAUACCCCAGUAGUC